ensembl:misc_RNA
UUGGCUUAUUCAGAUCUCUGUCCAAAGUACUUCCUGCACUUUCAAGGGGCCUGUGGGGUCCUCAAAG